rnacentral:rRNA from 1 species
CCUACGGGUGGCAGCAGUGGGGAAUAUUGCACAAUGGGGGAAACCCUGAUGCAGCAACGCCGCGUGAAGGAAGAAGGUUUUCGGAUCGUAAACUUCUGUUCUUAGUGAAGAAUGAUGACGCUAGCUCAGGAUCACGCCCCGGCUAACUCUGUGCCAGCAGCCGCGGUAAUACGUAGGUGGCAAGCGUUGUCCGGAAUUACUGGGUGUAAAGGGAGCGCAGGCGGGAAGUUAAGUCAGCUGUGAAAACUCCGGGCUUAACUUGUGGACUGCAGUUGAAACUGGUAUGCUUGAGUGAAGUAGAGGUUGGCGGAAUUCCGAGUGUAGCGGUGAAAUGCGUAGAUAUUCGGAGGAACACCAGUGGCGAAGGCGGCUAACUGGGCUGUAACUGACGCUGAGGCUCGAAAGUGUGGGGAGCAAACAGGAUUAGAUACCCCAGUAGUC